AUGUACCGAGGAUUCAGUAAGAUGCCCCAUGUGCAGUACAUUCACACAGAAGCCUCUGAAAGUCUCUGUGGCCUUAAGCUAGAAGUCAACAAAUACCAGUACCUGCUGACAGGGCGCGUGUAUGAAGGCAAGAUGUACACAGGGCUGUGCAACUUUGUGGAGAGGUGGGACCACCUCACACUGUCCCAGCGCAAGGGCCUCAAUUACCGCUACCACCUGGGUUGCAAUUGCAAGAUCAAGUCCUGCUACUACUUGCCUUGCUUUGUGACCUCCAAGAAUGAAUGUCUCUGGACCGACAUGCUCUCCAAUUUCGGGUACCCUGGCUAUCAGUCCAAACACUACGCCUGCAUCCGGCAGAAGGGUGGCUACUGCAGCUGGUACCGAGGAUGGGCCCCCCCAGACAAGAGCAUCAGCAAUGCCACAGACCCCUGAACCCAGACCUGUCCCACCUCACCUCCUUCCCAUCCCGCUGAGCGUCCCGGACACUAACUCUUCCCAGAUGAUGACAAUGAAAUUAGUGCCUGUUUUCUUGCAAAUUUAGCACUGGGGGACAGUUAAAGUCUCUGCCGUUUAUGGAGUUGAUUUGGAAAUACCUUCCUGGUCCCGCCCCCUUAUACCCCGUCUUUUUGGUUUUGACAUCACCCAUUUCCAACUGUGGAUCUCUGGUGCCAAGCCAGAAAGAAUGAGGCAUGUAUACACACCUCUUCUUCAUGAUAUAUAAUCUAUAUUUUUUUAGGAAAACAGAAAUUGAAAAAUCUACCCCAUUGGGGCAUUUAAUAGCUACUCUUCUUUCUUCUUCCUCUCUUGACCACAUCCUAGACCGCACUUCCAUAGACACUUCUUCAUCCAAGUACACAGGAAGCAUGGAUAAGGAAGUUGGCAGAAGUCCAACUGUUUCCCCGAUCAGCCAAGGGCAGCAAGCAGACAGACGCCAGGUAUUUGAAGGCCUUAUACACAGAGGAUAUACAACUGUGUGUCUGGAUCAGACAGUCUGUCUAUGUCUGCAUGUCAGAUUGAGGGAGGGAAGGGACAGACUGUAGGAGUGGGUCACACAGUUUCCCAGUCCUGUGAUUCUUGGGUUGACCCGCUGUUUCAGGUCCUGGAACAAGCAUCCAAGAGUAGCAGAACUUUCUGAGUUGGCAAAGACUUAAACAUCUGCCCGAGUUCAGCAGGCAACCUGCCUGUUUGUAUAAAAAAACUCAGACGAAGGGCUGAGACGAACGUCUUUCCUCUCCUGCCUCCCAUGAGACAGUCUCCUGGGAAUCCUAGGCUGGAAGCUUGCAAACAUGUGAGCUGGAGAAACACACACCUGACACCAUCCACAGAUAUAGUCAAGUAGAUUUGGGUAGAGAAUACUAUUUCCAAAGUAGUGUUUAGCUCAUCUAGGGGGAUGUGUUUAUAUAUACAUUUGCAUAUACCCACAGGGGAUUAUGAGCUAAUUUUUUUAUAGGACACAGAAUUCUAUUCAAUGCUGUUAAAUAUGCAAAUAGUUUAAUCUCUUUUGUUGUUGUUUGAUGGGAAAUUGUGACAUUCCAAGUUGACUUUUUUUUUUUAUCUGAAUUAAAAUUUGAAACUCUGACCACACUCAGCACCCUCUUGUCCCUAUCACUGGGGUUGUUUGACCCUUCAUCUCCUUUUUCCUUCUGCUUUGUGUUUGGGGUGCCCUUCACUUAGUUGCCUUACUAGCCGGCUGAUGGCAGGUGAGUGUGAGUGUUAGGGCAGGGGCUGUCUCAUGAAAGGGACAGUUGCACAUCAUCCUACAUCAGUGGAAUGACUCCUCUCCUGGAUCUGGGGACAGCAUAUACUUCUUCCCCAGCUCAGUCAUGGGUGAACGUCACCUCCUGAGAUGGUCACCUCAGAGAAGGAACACGGUUGGUUACUGAGGGAGCCAGGCUCUGCCAACAAACUGUAGGCCUUUUGUUGUGUAGUAUUUUUGUUUUUUAAAUAAAAGUAUAGUAUAAAUUUUCCUAUUAAAUAAGAUUAUUUUAAGUUUUACUGUCAAAAUUGCAAUGCCCAUUGUAGGUAAGGGUGUACUAUACAGAUUUGGAGAUGGUAAGGUGGUGACAUUUAACACAAUUACACUGUCUUUUUUCAGGUUAUGGGUAUAUAUCCUCUAUUAGUAUCAUAUCUUUUUCAUUCCACUUUAGGAAACACAGUUACCAGUUAUAAGUAGAGAGAGAGAGAGAGAGAAAGACAAGUUCUAGUCUGCCUCUACCCCACACAUACCACUUCUUUGUCCAGGGGUUUGACAGAAUAGCAGGCCCGGAAGACAGUUGAGGAGAUGGGUGUCAAGUUUCCUCUGGGUAGAUUUCAUUCCCCGGCAUCCUUCCCCUGUGCUGACAGGGAGCAGAAGGCGCAACGCUUUCCAUGGUGUGGGGCAGAAGGAGCCGAGGUCAGCAAGCCAGUGGUUCUUAAGAGGUAAACCUCUGACUUACUGUUGGAAGUUGUCUCUUUCAACCUCAGAGUCUCCUAAUAUGGCGCUCCUGAUCUACCCUGCUCAAUGCUCUCCCGUAUGUACACCCCAGCCUCUUUCCCAAGAAGUCUCUGGCCAUUCUCAGUCCCUGUGUGAUCAGCCUCCCUCCUACCCGGACAGACUUGAGGUGAGGCCUAAGUAUGAGGCACCUGAAGUUAACCUGAAGAUAAAACCAUUGGCAGAACCACGGCCCCAGGUGGCUGUUGAGGUCUUGGCGAGAAGUCCUGGGCAAGGAAGGUCUUUCGUAAAGUCACAUCAUUGGAGAGCCGUUUUUGCGCUUUCAAUAAGCUAUAGCUUUGUUUCUUUCUCCUGUUCACUUACUGUAUAAUUUAAAGUCAUUUAUGUAGCUGAGACACUUUGUUAUUUCAAUCAUAUCGUGAAUGUUUUAUUUUGCUAAAUCAUGUGCCAUGUGUAGGCUGUCGUGUGUACACUGUGUCUAAGAGAAGAAGAAAAGAAAGAAAGAAAAAAAACCCCACAUGCCAUUUUUUUUUCCUGAUUCAAAUUCUACAGUAGAAUGGAAGGCAGAAUACUGGGGCUCGAGCACUCAGCUGGAAUAAAGAUUCAAGGAAAUGGAAAGUACUAGAAACAGACUCCUCCAGCCUCCUCCCCAUGGGAUCCUAAGGGUGGGAAGGAGAAAAAGAACAAAAGUACACUGAUGUCCUUGUCCUGUAUCAACUAUCCCUGGGUCAUCUGCCACCCACUUUCCAAGACCUUUCUCCUACUCAACCAGGAAGCCGUGGUUUCUGCAAUCCAGGGCCAUGGCAACUGUGACUCCAAGCUCUCUCUGUCUCAUCCAGUCAACUUUUCUGCCUCCUAACCAAGGAAUUCCUCUACGCAGGCUCUUGUUGCCCAGGCUAGCCCUCUUUUUCAGCCAGGAUGUGGAGCUGAAGGAGACCCUAGUGUUUACUUUCUCCAGUCCUAGCUCUGCCAUAUAAACACUGUUUCAUGCUGUGCUUCUUAAAUGAUAAAGGACACAGUGACUUUUGGGGAUAGAUUUGUCUGGGAGAUGAUGUGAGUCCGGGAGGCAUUACUCUUCCCUGCCUCACAUCAAGGUGCCAUUCAGGUAUUUGGCUCCUAGCUACUUAAAGUUAAAAAUAAUCACUCUAAUAUUUGUAUCAUAGAAACUCAAAAAAAAAAAAAAAAGAAAAGUCACAGAAACAUAAUCAAAUGGGAGAAGGCAGGAGAGAAUGGUCUCAACAGAUUUAAGUUGGCUGUUGGGACUGAGGAGGAGAGGACCUGAUGAAAAGACCAUGCUCUGGGGACAGGGAUACCUUAGAUUCUCUGUCUACUUUUCUUCUAACAAGUCAGCUGUGCUGAAGCCCAGUAGUGAUGAAGAGACUCCAGCCAGAGAAAAACCCAUCUAGAAGGAAUGUAUUUGUUGCUAAAUUUUGUAGCACUGUUUACAGUUUUCCUCCAUGUUAUUUAUGAAUUUUAUAUUCCGUGAAUGUAUAUUGUCUUGUAAUGUUGCAUAAUGUUCACUUUUUAUAGUGUGUCCUUUAUUCUAAACAGUAAAGUGGUUUUAUUUCUAUCACAC
rnacentral:lncRNA from 1 species